rfam:Haemophilus somnus 2336, complete genome.
CCGACUUAGUCGGGGUGCUGAUAACAGCUGAGAUAAUACCCGUGAACCUGAUACAGUUAAUACUGACGUAGGAAACUAAUGGUCUUACUCC